UUGUUUUGUAUCAAGAUCUGCCAAAAAUGUUAUAUAUUAUUUUACCUGCUGUAUAAGAAUUACAGCAUGCUUGUAUUGUCUGUGACAUACAGGGUGUGAAACAUCUUUUUUUCUUUCUUUACAGAACAUACAUCCACAUGGUUACAAAAACUAUGUGUGCUUUAAUGGUUCUGAAUUACCAAAAACAACUGAAUACAGGAGAAGGAAAACACUGUUCUCCAUUAAUUUGAAUAACAAUGAGGCCACCAAGGAAAAUGAUAGUGUCCACUAUACUCAGUGUCCAAUACCAGCAAAGAGAUACAAAAUGGAUAACCAAGUGCAGAAAGUGGUUGAGUGGAGUGUUAAUGAUGAGAAUUAUGAUGAAAGAAGGCUGUCUUUUGAGGAAAACCUGUGCCAGUCUCCUGAGAGGCAUAAUGAAGAAGCAAACGUACAUCAGACAAUUCGGGACAGCACUGGUAUGGUUUGUGGGGGACACCAUGACCAUAUAACUGAUUUGCAACCAUCUGAAAUACCGCACCUGAAACAAGCUCAAACUCCAAAUUCAUCACAGG